CCAUAUUAUGUUGAAACUCCAGUUCUCAUACGAUCACUGAAAUUAAGCAACAUUGAACCUGGUCAGUACCUAGAUGGGUGACUGCUUAGGAAUAUUAGUUGAUGUAAG